AGUUGUACAGCGAUUUUAUUGGAAUUUAUAAGAUUGCUCCUGCCAAUCUUCGACUGAAAUUCAAAUUAAAGAUUUUGAAUUUUAUGAAACGAUUUGGAAAAAUGCCUCUUGGAGUUUCCGUGGGAGGUUUCUUCUUCAUCAAAGAGAAUUUUGCAAUGAAGAUGGCUAAAAUGCUCGAGUCGAUUUUCUCGACCCUACUCGAACUAAGGGAUAUGAAUAAAAAGAGACAGUGUGUGCCCAGAUUUACUGCGACAGAAAAUCAUUUGAACAGCUCUUUAUUACGACCGUUCAAUAGUACUUUUUAAAAAUUUACAUAAUCAAAUAUAAUAUUGACACUCAUUCUCGAUAAUUAUGUAAAUUAUCAAGAAACAGUAUCAAUCAAAUGUUUGUAAAGACUUUUUAGUGAUUCACUUCUGAAUGAUUCUUUGUAUUAUGACACUGAUUCUCUUUUUAAAAGCGUUAAUUCAUUCAGGAAUACAUUUGCCUUAGGAAAACUCGGAGAAAUAUUAAAUUCAUUGUGAUAUGACAAUUGCACUACGUAGACGUCUAUUCAGACUAUUAUUUAAUUAUACAGUUAUAGCAAAAUGAUAAAAGGUGACGUUGAACUAAGUUUAAAUUGAAACAGGAGUUGUCAGAAAACAUUUUAUGGUGGCGCAAGUAUAUGAAAAACAUAAUAAGGAUCUCUUGCAGCGUUCAUAUUCCAUAAUGAUUAUGCGUCUACGUAGCAUAUUAAUUGUCCUUCGGAAAUUAUCUAAAAUGGCCGAUAUAGCGAUGCUUCUGAGUAAGUGAAAAUUUCGGCCCACCAAUGGCCGAGUGGAUAAAACCACUAAACACCGGUAGUUGGUCGUGGUUUCGCGCCUGUCCAACGGACUGGCCACGUGCAGUUUUCCGGGUUUUCUUCACGUUGUAAUACCUGAAUAGGGGCCAGUUUCUCAUACAAAGUCCUCCCGGGAGGCAUCACUUUCGUCAGAUCGAUUAUUAGUCGCGUUGUCGCUUAGAUACAUAACGUGAAAAACUAGAAAAUGAGAAUUAGUCACAGAAAAUUUUAUUCCUAGACAACUUCGGCCAUAGUAAGUGCACUCCACGUCUCUUAGACUAAAAUAUUUUAAUAAGU